rnacentral:rRNA from 1 species
UACAGAGGUCCCAAGCGUUGUUCGGAUUCACUGGGCGUAAAGGGUGCGUAGGUGGCGGGGUAAGUCUGAUGUGAAAUCUCCGAGCUUAACUCGGAAACUGCAUCGGAUACUGCCUUGCUCGAGGGUUGGAGGGGGGACUGGAAUACUUGGUGUAGCAGUGAAAUGCGUAGAUAUCAAGUGGAACACCAGGUGGCGAAGGCGAGUCCCUGGACAACUCCUGACACUGAGGCACGAAAGCUAGGGGAGCAAACAGG